rnacentral:rRNA from 1 species
AGUGAACGCUGGCGGUAGGCCUAACACAUGCAAGUCGAACGGCAGCACAGUAAGAGCUUGCUCUUACGGGUGGCGAGUGGCGGACGGGUGAGGAAUACAUCGGAAUCUACUUUUUCGUGGGGGAUAACGUAGGGAAACUUACGCUAAUACCGCAUACGACCUACGGGUGAAAGCAGGGGAUCUUCGGACCUUGCGCGAUUGAAUUAGCCGAUGUCGGAUUAGCUAGUUGGCGGGGUAAAGGCCCACCAAGGCGACGAUCCGUAGCUGGUCUGAGAGGAUGAUCGGCCACACUGGAACUGAGACACGGUCCAGACUCCUACGGGAGGCAGCAGUGGGGAAUAUUGGACAAUGGGCGCAAGCCUGAUCCAGCCAUACCGCGUGAGUGAAGAAGGCCUUCGGGUUGUAAAGCCCUUUUGUUGGGAAAGAAAAGCAGCAGGUUAAUACCCCGAUGUUCUGACGGUACCCAAAGAAUAAGCACCGGCUAACUUCGUG